rnacentral:rRNA from 1 species
AGCGAACGCUGGCGGCAGGCCUAACACAUGCAAGUCGAACGAAGUCUUCGGACUUAGUGGCGGACGGGUGAGUAACACGUGGGAACGUGCCUUUAGGUUCGGAAUAACUCAGGGAAACUUGUGCUAAUACCGAAUGUGCCCUUCGGGGGAAAGAUUUAUCGCCUUUAGAGCGGCCCGCGUCUGAUUAGUUAGUUGGUGAGGUAAAGGCUCACCAAGGCUACGAUCAGUAGCUGGUCUGAGAGGAUGACCAGCCACAUUGGGACUGAGACACGGCCCAACUCCUACGGGAGGCAGCAGUGGGGAAUCUUGCGCAAUGGGCGAAAGCCUGACGCAGCCAUGCCGCGUGGAUGAUGAAGGUCUUAGGAUUGUAAAAUCCUUUCACCGGUGAAGAUAAUGACUGUAGCCGGAGAAGAAGCCCCGGCUAACUUCGUGCCAGCAGCCGCGGUAACAC